UGGGAGGCUGAUACACAAAUUGAGCUAAGUACUGCUCUAAUUGCCACCAUUCCUCCCUAGAAUAAACUGUUAUUUUUAUUGCUUUCAGAGAGGAAGGGAGAGCGACAGAGAGAUAGAAACAU